rnacentral:rRNA from 1 species
UACGGAGGGGGCUAGCGUUGUUCGGAAUUACUGGGCGUAAAGCGCACGUAGGCGGCUUUGUAAGUUAGAGGUGAAAGCCCGGGGCUCAACUCCGGAAUUGCCUUUAAGACUGCAUCGCUAGAAUUGUGGAGAGGUAAGUGGAAUUCCGAGUGUAGAGGUGAAAUUCGUAGAUAUUCGGAAGAACACCAGUGGCGAAGGCGACUCACUGGACACGUAUUGACGCUGAGGUGCGAAAGCGUGGGGAGCAAACGGG